CUGAAGCGCCCGCAGGUGCCUGUGCCUGUGUAUCCCGACAAUAAACCAAAUCCUCUUGCUGAUUGCAUCCUGUGGUGUCUCGGUCUGGUCUUUGGAGUUAGAGGGUCUCCAUCCCGAGGGAAAGUUCUCCCUGAGAGCUUUUCAUUUGGUGCGUUGGCCGGGAAUGGAGAUCCUCCACCCAGGGACCACCGACCACCCACUGGGAGGUAAGCCGGCCGGCGUCUGUCUGUCUGUCUGAUUUUGUCUCGUUCUGCCUUAUUCUGUCUGUUCUGUGAGCGCUCAGCCAGGUCUGUUCUGUGAGCGCUCAGCCAGGUCUGUUCUGUGAGCGCUCAGCCAGGUUGUUUGGAAUUUGGGCGGGACGAAGAAGGAGCUGACGAGCUCGGACUUCUUGCCCUGCAGCCCUGGAAGACGUUCCAAGGGUGUUAGGGGCCCGACUUUUCGGGGCCCAAUCUGGG
ensembl:lncRNA